rnacentral:rRNA from 1 species
AGGACGAACGCUGGCGGCGUGCCUAAUACAUGCAAGUCGAACGCGCUCCAUUCGGUAGCAAUACUGAUGAAGAGCGAGUGGCGAACGGGUGAGUAGCACGUGAGCAACCUGCCCCGAAGACUGGGACAACACCGGGAAACCGGUGCUAAUACCGGAUAUCCCUAUCGGACCGCAUGAUCCGAUAAGGAAAUGUUUUUCGCUUCGGGAGGGGCUCGCGGCCUAUCAGCUUGUUGGUGGGGUAACGGCCUACCAAGGCGACGACGGGUA